rnacentral:rRNA from 1 species
AUGAAGAAGAAACAGAUGGUCCAUGGAAAUCAAAGCAACAAGCGUGCAAGGUUGGUUCAGAGAAAACAAAAUGGUGACAUUGAGUUUGCUUCGAGUACAACAGUUGACGAACACGCUUUAGAAGCAUCAAAUUUUGCUAGAGGCUCAACAGAUACCGAUUUGACUAGAAGAAAAGAAAUAAGUAGGUUGAAUCGAGCAAAUAGGAAAUUACAAUUGAUUAAAAAAAAGAGGUAA